rnacentral:piRNA from 1 species
GCUUCUCAGCUGGUGAGACUCAGGAAC